rnacentral:rRNA from 1 species
AGCCUGAACGCUGGCGGCGUGGCUAAGACAUGCAAGUCGCACGGUGUAGCAAUACACAGUGGCGAACGGGAGAGUAAUGAAUCGCUAAUGUGCCCCGGACUCUGGGAUAGCUACCCGAAAGGGUAGGUAAUACCAGAUAAUAUAACCUUGUCGCAUGACAGGGUUCUCAAAGGUCCGCCGGCCUGGGAGCAGGCGAUUUCGUAUCAGCUAGUUGGUGAGGUAACGGCUCACCAAGGCGACGACGCGCAGCCGGACUGAGAGGUUGGCCGGCCUCAUUGGGACUGAGACACUGCCCAGACUCCGUACGGGGGCUGCAGUAACGAAUCUCGCAAUGCAGAAAGUGUGACGGAGCGACGCCGCGUGUGGGACGAAGCCCGUUCGGGGACGUAAACCACUGUCGAAGGGUUACCCAAGUUCUGGAACGGAACCCCGAGGAACGGAACGGCGAACGGCUAACUCGUACGCGCCAGCCAGGCCGC